AUUGAACGCUGGCGGCAGGCCUAACACAUGCAAGUCGAACGAGUGGCGGACGGGUGAGUAAUGUCUGGGAAACUGCCUGAUGGAGGGGGAUAACUACUGGACACGGUAGCUAAUACCGCAUACCAUCAGAUGUGCCCAGAUGGGAUGAGCUAGUUGGUGGGGUAAAGGCUCACCAAGGCGACGAUCCCUAGCUGGUCUGAGAGGAGGAACAGCUACACUGGAAUGGAGACACGGUACAGACCCCUACGGGAGGCAGCAGGGGGGAAUAUUGCACAAGGGGGCCAACGCUGAUGAAGCCAUGCCGCGUGUAUGAAGAAGGCCUUCGGGUUGUAAAGUACUUUCGGCGGGGAGGCGUUACCCGCAGAAGAAGCACCGGCUAACUCCGUGCCAGCAGCCGCGGUAAUAC
rnacentral:rRNA from 1 species